CAGGUACGAGUAGAGUGGCGCACGGGUGAGUAACGCGUGGAUAAUCUACCUUUGGAUCUGGGAUAACAUUGCGAAAGCGGUGCUAAUACCGGAUAAUAUCGUAAUAUCUGCGGAUAUAGCGAUGAAAGGCAGCCAAUCCUUGGAAGCAGUUGUCUGAAGAUGAGUCCGCGUACCAUUAGCUAGUUGGUGGGGUAAAGGCCUACCAAGGCGACGAUGGUUAGCUGGUCUGAGAGGAUGAUCAGCCACACUGGAACUGACACACGGUCCAGACUCCUACGGGAGGCAGCAGUGAGGAAUUUUGCGCAAUGGGGUAACCCCUGACGCAGCAACGCCGCGUGAGUGAUGAAGGCUUUUGGGUCGUAAAACUCUGUCAAUGGGAAAGAAAUUACAAUAUAUUAAUAGUGUGUUGUAUUGACGGUACCCAUGAAGGAAGCACCGGCUAACUCCGUGCCAGCAGCCGCGGUAAUACGGGGGGUGCAAGCGUUAUUCGGAAUUAUUGGGCGUAAAGGGCGUGCAGGCUGUAUACUAGGUCAGAUGUGAAAGUUCAGGGCUUAACUCUGAAAGUGCAUUUGAAACCAUUAUACUUGAGUAUGGGAGAGGGAAGUGGAAUUCCAGGUGUAGAGGUGAAAUUCGUAGAUAUCUGGAGGAACACCGGUGGCGAAGGCGACUUCCUGGACCAAUACUGACGCUGAGGCGCGAAGGCGUGGGUAGCGAACAGGAUUAGAUACCCUGGUAGUCCACGCAGUAAACGUUGAUCACUAGGUGUAGCGGGUAUUGACCCCUGCUGUGCCGGAGCAAACGCAUUAAGUGAUCCGCCUGGGGAGUACGAUCGCAAGAUUAAAACUCAAAGGAAUUGACGGGGGCCCGCACAAGCGGUGGAGCAUGUGGUUUAAUUCGACGCAACGCGAAGAACCUUACCUGGAUUUGACAUCUUGGGAAUACCUUAGAAAUUUGGUAGUGCCUUUCGGGGAGCCCAAAGACAGGUGCUGCAUGGCUGUCGUCAGCUCGUGUCGUGAGAUGUUGGGUUAAGUCCCGCAACGAGCGCAACCCUUAUCUUUAGUUACCAUCAUUUAGUUGGGGACUCUAGAGAUACUGCCCCGGUUAACGGGGAGGAAGGUGGGGAUGACGUCAAGUCCUCAUGGCCUUUAUAUCCAGGGCUACACACGUGCUACAAUGGUAUGUACAAAGAGUUGCUAAGCCGCGAGGUCAAGCUAAUCUCAUAAAGCAUAUCUUAGUUCGGAUUGGAGUCUGCAACUCGACUCCAUGAAGUUGGAAUCGCUAGUAAUCGUAGAUCAGCAUGCUACGGUGAAUACGUUCCCGGGCCUUGUACACACCGCCCGUCACACCAUGAGAGUUGACUGUACCAGAAG
rnacentral:rRNA from 1 species